GGAGGAUGUAGGAGAAGCAGCAGCAUUUCACAGGGGCAGCUUGGUUCUCCCCCUCCUAAUAAGAGUUGGGAUAAUCAUGGCAAAGCAGUUGUGCUCCUUUUGAAUAUAAAAAUGACUGGUAAAGCUGCCAGACUAAAAGGUAAUUUUCCAGUUUACAAGGAACUGUAAUCUACAGUAUCUGCUCCCACAAGAGAAAAAGUAUGAGGUGCUUCAAGACCCCACAAAUGAUGCUGAAACCCAGGAUUUCUUUGAUCAGGUUUAGUGGGUGCAAUGAAUAUUGAAGACCUAAGUGACUAAUCAAAGCCUUCCGGAAAGCCCACAAAUAGCAUGAAGGAAAUAGCCAUCCCCUGCUGUUGACCACCCCAGCGACAGAUAUUCAGAGGUAUACUGCCUCUGGAUACUGAGGUUCCACAUAGGCAUCAUGACUCAGUGACAGAUUUGUCCUCCAUAAAUGUGUCUACUCUCCUUCUAAAGAUGUCAAAGGAACUGGCCAUCACCAUAUCCUAUGGCAGUGAAGUUAAUACUUUGUG